CUCGUCCAGGCAGAUGUCGUUAUUCACAGCAGGGUUGGGGUACUUGGGGUACCGCGCUAGGAAUUUGUGGCAUAGCAACCCCAAGCUCUUCUCCUUCCGACUCGGCUGGGAUUUCUCAAAUUCGUCUCCUGAUAAGUGUUCCUGCAGAGGGAAAGCAGGUCAACAGCCUUCCAACAGCUCCGGGCUCCACACUGACCGUCCCUUCAUCCACAAGCCCCCAAACGCCACCCAGCCUCCCUGUAAACCUACGUGCAAACAGUCUCUAGCUUCAGGGAUGUGAACCUGUUUUGUACAAAUUGGUGGCUUGUUUGGGUUCUUCAGAAUUGUGGCUUCUGAUUCACUGGAGGUGGCUGUGCCCCUACCCCGCAACCCCCUGAAGUGGCUGGCAUUGGUGCAAAUGAGGCUGUUGAACCUGAUCGUGUUCUCUCUGGCCUUGGACCUGAGUGCUGCAGAGAGAGAGAGAGAGGGAGACUCUGAUGGCUCUGAAGAUCAUGGCCCUUCCCAUAUGAGGUUCUAGGCAGUAUUCCUGAGCCGGUCUCUUGCUCACUCCCCAGCCCUUUUGAAUACCCCUUUUCGGUAUGAAUUUGAUGAUCUAAUUUGACUAUCUCUCAAAUGCUCAGGUGUGUUACAGUUUUACUCUUCACUGUAUCAGUUUGUCACACGGUUAAGAGAGCAGGAUCUACCCUUCACUCGGGGUCAUUCUCUGCAUCCUAGCUGAUGUUCAGUGAAAGCUCCAAGGGUUUGUCAAUGUGGAAACUGGUUGGCAGUCAAUCGAUGGUCUCGCAGCCACAGUUAGA
ensembl:processed_transcript